GUCCACCACUUUGGACAUAAUGUACAUUUUCGCUUGGACUUUUGUCUGAGUUCCUUUAGAAGCCAGUAGUGAAGAGUGCCACAGAGUAAGUAUUUAUGAUACACACACACACACCUGUUAUUAAAUUGUUAUUGCAGUAUAAAAAGUUGGUAAUACAUGAAUACAGAUGAAAAACCAUACUUUCAGUAAACCUAAUUUGAGGCAUGCCAGUGUAAGCCAUAUUUCCAAAUACAAUACUUACUAUUAUUUAUUUUAGGCAGUUUCAAACUCCAAAGUACAGUAAGUCGCUAUUUAUACUCUUGAAUUAAAAUGUUCCCUCUGUGCAUUUGACCUUGAGUGAUGACCCUGGAGUCACAGACCCAGUUGUUCAUUAGCAAUUAUUUUCCCACAAGAUCUUUGAAAUCAGUGUUCUGCUCAAGACAGAAUCAACCUCUCCUACCAACUCUGCAAAAGGACAAGUCUUCGAAAACUUUAUGUUGAUGAAGAGGGGGGUUGCAGAUACCUCCCUUUAAAGAUGGGAAUUACAGGAGCCGGAUCAUUCAUUUAUUGGCUUGUUUUUAGGGGGCGGCGGUUACUAUGUUUAUCUGUGAAACCAUCACUAGGAUAAUGAUAAAAUUUGGAUAAGAUUCAAACUUCCACCAAUAUAAUUUCAUUUCAUGUGUGGACUAUAUUUAGCAGCAGUAAAUUACUCAUAUUGCCUAGACUUAAUGUCCAUCAUCUGCAGUGCAACAUCACACAAGGUGACGCCAUAUCCUUCUGCUUUGUCAGUGAAUUUACUACUUUGAAAUGUGUUAAAGUUGCCUUGAAUGCAAGUCAUGCAACACUUAAUUGCAGUGGUGGAAUGUAACUAAGUACAUUUACUCAAGUACUGUACUUAAGUAGCCUACCCAUUUGAGGUAUUGUACUUUACGUGAGUAUUUCCAUUUUAUGCUACUUUAUACUUCCACUACAUUUUAGAGUCAGAUAUUGUACUUUUUACUCCGCUACAUUUGUCUGACAGCUGUAGUUAAUUUUCAGAUUACAAAUUUUCAUACCCUUUUUGUCCAGUGAAAACAAUGUAUCUCCAAAUUUGUUGAUUUUGAAUGUUUCACCCAUAGACUGUAUAAAACAGGUUUUACCCAUAGAUUUCAACUUUUGGAUUAGCUGGAAAAAUCACAAAGUCAGAGCUGAAAACAGCUGUUUUUUCUGAGCUCACAAAAAGUUGACUUUUUAGAGCUACAUGGUUGUCACAGGACAGAGACGCUACAAACAUAUGAUCUUAUAGAUUGAUGCAUUGCUGUAGAUUAAGAUAAUAAACAGUACAUAAAGUAGUAGUCGUUGUCAUAUAUAAUAGUAAAAUACUGAUUUUCUGCAGAACGAGUACUUUCUUUUGAUACUUAGAGAGUAAAGGAUCUGGAUACUUCUUCCACCACUGCUUAACAUUAGAAACCCUGCCCAGCUGAUGCAACGCCAGCAGACAUCAGGACAGUAAUCAAGUGGACCCACUAUCAUGCUGUGAGUCGCAGACAGUUUGUGACCAGAGAGGUAACGUUACUGGUACGCUGCUCACGUUUAUAAAAAAAAAAAAAAAAAAAAAAAGGGGAGUGGAUUUACGGCAGGCAUUUGGGAAAUUUGGUCACAAUGAUAAAAAGAGUGGCUCCCAUCAGGUACGACUUCGUUCGUACCAAAGAGCCGUUGAAAAGAAUCGGAUCGUUCGCGAACGUAACCUCACUUAAGUUUCAAAUCACACACAGAUUUCGUCCCACACUUCAGCCAAAAUGAAAAGUAAAACAAUACGUUCUUUAUUAUUAUACUACUAUAUAACAGCAUAUUACAAAAACAGUUAAAUAAAAACAGCAAAACAAAGAUGAAACACAGCAGGCCAUACAGUGGGCAGUUACAAAGCGUAGUCUGUAAAGUCUUUAGUGAAUUAUUUUACAGAGCGGCAUCCCUAUUACGUGCAAUCAUUCCCCCAAGUCAAGCAAACUGCUUUCGUGGUCCCUCGCCAAAAGAUGCUUUCAAAGACUCACAGGGCUCAUUCAUGAGACAUUGUUUGUCCCCUUUUGAUGCUUCUACAUUUUCCUGUUUUCUGACAGUUAUUCAGAAUAGCAACGCAACUAGUUCAUACUUGGUGGGACAGACUUGAACACCUCCACCCACUAGUUUAUAACCAGGGUUGUUCUAGGAAAGGCAAUGGUGGAGUGACACUUAAAUCAUCUUAUGUUUGUUCCUUUAUUUCAUUAGAUGCCUCCUUUUCAAAACAUAAGAGCUAGGUAAGCUCUGUAACAACCACUGGACCAUGUGCUUUCCUUUCUGGUUUUUUUUUCAAACAAAGACAACAAAUU